rnacentral:lncRNA from 1 species
GUUCCAAUCGCUGUGAUUUGGGGGAGGGAUCUUGUAGUUUGGGUUGCCUUUGUUGCCCUGUCGUCCCAGGGCAGGUUACAAUCAUAAAGCACAAUAUUAAAAAUAACAUCAUAUUACAAAAAUAAGGCGAGUUCAAAAGUAUAAAUCUCAAAUGUUGAAAGGCAGGGUAAAGAGGUGUGUCUUCAGUCCCUGUUUCUGUCACUGAAGAAAACAAGAGUUUUCCCAUUCUCUUCAGAGCUUUAACUGUGACUUAACUGUGGCGGCCUGAUACUUUAUCAAUUGUUCUUUUCCUAGCAAAUAACUAAAAAUUGUAAGUCUUUCAUUAUCUUCACAGAGGGCACUGCCGAAAAGGGAGAGGCAGUAGAUAAAAAAUGUGAUUUUUCCAGUUUAUUAAUAAAAAGGUAAAUCACCUAGCACAAUAGCACCUGGAGUCAUUUGCCUGAAUUUUGGCAGAUUUCUGACCCAGGGACACCUCCCUCAUUUCCCGUUUUCAAACUGCUGGCCCACAAAGAAACCAGGAUAGGGAAUUCCCCUUCCCCAAAUGGCAAAGCCUGCUCUUGCAGGGAAACAGCUGCACCUUCUGGAUUUUGGCAGGCUUCAUCCCCUCAGAAGAGGUAACUAGGCCUGAAUUCUGGCAGAAAAUAAAAAGUUAGAGACUUAAAAAAAUGAAAAUGUUCCUACAUAAAAUCCUCUGGAUGCACCUGCCUGAAAAUUGGCAGGUUAAAGCCUCUGAAGGGGCUGGCUUGCCUGCAAAUUUCAUAAAUGUGUGUGAAGGCUGGGAAUGAUUUUUAGAUUCCCCUUCCUAGUCAACAGGGGCAAACAGAACUUCCAGCUUUACAGAUCAGACUUGAAGAAUGGAUUGAAUUGGAAUGACGCGGAGCAGGUCUGAAACAGAUCAAGUUGCUUCUAAAUGCUACAGAUAUGGAUUCAAAUCAAGACUUGGUUGUUGUGCACAGCUGUGAUUCACACACCCACACCCACGCCUACACCAGCAGCUGGCGUCCACAGCAAUUAAGCACUGGAUCUCUUUUAAAGCCUACAUUUUGUGGUGGGGGAUAAAGUUCAUGAAGAGCACAAUGCAAAGGAAAUGAAGGGUUAGAGCAUGGGUAGGCAAACGAAGGCCCAGGGGCCGGAUCUGGCCCAAUCGCCUUCUCAAUCUGGCCCGCAUGUUUUUACAUGAGUAGAAUGUGUCCUUUUAUUUAAAAUGCAUCUCUGUGUUAUUUGUGGGGCAUAGGAAUUCAUUCAUUCUCCCCCCCAAUAUAGUCCGGCCCCCCACAAGGUCUGAGGGACACCGGACCGGCCCCCUGCUGAAAACGUUUGCUGAGCCCUGGGUUAGAGGCUAAACCAAACUUUGUCCACCAGGUGUGUGGGAUGGCUUGAAACCCAGCAGCUUGAGGUCACCUGCCAGAGACUGCAAGGAUAUACAGGGCUUGGUGUACACUGAGUGUGAUGGGGGGGGGGGCUCUUCUUUGAGGUCACAAGUUGUGGAGACUUGCAGAAAGGUAGUCCCAUCCCUCACCAACUUCCCCCUUUCUCAACACCCCUAUAAAAGUCAGAAUACCAAAUGCUUCAAACAAAACAAAGAACAAUCCAGGAAAAUGUCUGCACACCAAAAAUUAGUGUCACAACAGCCUGGUUUGGGCCAUUUAUUUUAAUGCUUUAAUGCUUAAACACCCAGUGCUUCCCCCCCCCCCCGCCCCCCAAAACGUUUCCUGAUUGCUAUUGUUAUAUUGCAAGGCUCAUUGCUAAAACAUUGGGUAUCUAUUUUGUCAAAGCAAGCAUGAAAUAUCCAAGGAAUGUUCCCAGACCAGUGUUGGUUAUACGUACAAAAAAGUAGUUCAUUGUAAACUGAAUUACUCUCAUGGACUUCGCAGGAGCUAAGCUUAUUUAAAACAAGCUAUACCUAUUUUGCUGGGCUACAGAUUGGACUGAAAAUUAGUAAAAGGCAAGGUAUGUGCAAACAAUAAAUCCAUUAAGGUAAAAUUGUAUUUCUUUUUCCUGGAGGGGAAAUUGCAAAAUUAUUCAAAAAGUGCUAAUUUGGGCUUGUUGUCCCAGGAGAAAUGGUAAAUUAUGAGGUCAUAGGAACCUCGUUGCAAAGUAUUUGCCAAACUUAAUUGGUGCAAUAAAUAAAAUAUGCAUGCAAAUUAGACUGGUUUCUGAAUUAGAGGAAUCCAUUAUCUCAAGUAGCUAUGUUGAUUUGAUCACAGCUUCACUGUAGUUUAAGAUAUGCACACAGUUUGGGUCAUGCAUGCUUUCAAAUGAAGCAAGGAGUUUAAACCACAAGGCUGGCACUAAAUUUAUUUUUAUUUUUUAUUUUUAUUUUUACUUUAUUUAUAUACCGCCCUUCAUCACAAGAUCUCAGGGUCGUUCACAGAAUAAAAUACAAUAUAAAAAUACAAGUAAAGAAAUACCGUAUUUUUUGCACCAUAACACUCACUUUUUUCCUCCUAGAAAGUAAGGGGAAAUGUCUGUGCGUGUUAUGGAGCAAAUGCCUGCGGCUGGCGGGGAAUCUGCUGCAGUCGUGAGCAGAGGAUCCAUGGUUCCCCUUCCUUCCCUCCUCCGUGGUUACAAAGCAUGGAUCCACAUGGAUCCUCAGGAUUUUUGCAUUGGGCUACUCCAAACUCACUGUCAGAUCACAUGUCUGUGGCCACAGCAUGAACCACAAAAAUCAUAUAUCCACUAUUUCGUUUAGAUUUUUUUUUCCUUGUUUUCCUCCUCUAAAAACUACGUGCGUGUUAUGGUCUGGUGCGUGUUAUAGAGCGAAAAAUAUGGUAGUUACUAGGAUGUACGAACUAUGUGUUGAAAUAUGUGUGGCUAAAUUCACAUGUCCAGGAUCAUGAUCUGUCUUCCUCUCCUCAUACAGCCCUUGAUGGACAGAAAUAACGCCUCUUGCUUCUCUUGUUGAGUCCUGCUUCAGCUUCUCUCAACUUCACUGCCAUCUCCCUUCUGCUGAAUUUUGUAUUGUGCUCCUGGGUAUGAGACUUCUCGUACUCUGUAAAAUACCACACACUAAUUAUACUAUAUAUUAAUAACAACAAGACAUAUGUACUUUGUUCUCCCAGGCCUUUUAACAUCUGUAAUAUUAUUUGGCAUCACUGCUAUUUCAUUUUCAUCUCAGCAGAAUAUUGGGGUUUCGGCUUUGUAACUUCACUCAUUUUUUAUUACUUGCUGGGAGUUUGAAUUGUGUCUGUGCCAGAUUUUAUGGCCAGAUUUUACUGUUGUACUAUUGUUGGUUUUUAAAUGGUUUAUUGGGUUGUGUUUUUUUACCUGUUGU